AUUUUCCUGCAUAAAUAGCGCUGCUCUGUGACACCAUAGAUUAUAGAGCCUGUCCACAGAUACUGCUGUGCUACUUCGCUUUUGAAGGUGUGGUUUUUCACUUUUUGACCCGCCCACCUGAAACGGCUUUGGAACGUGACGAGGGGGCGUGGCCGCGAUUUUUGGUUGAGGCCCCGUUUUUGUGGGCAAAACAAAGCACACGGAUAGCAUCAGCCAUGGUUCGUACUUGCUGUGUGAUCGGUUGUAAUGUUAGAUCGCACGACCGGCAAGGGAAUAAGCUUGAAAAUGGUUUAUCUUUUUAUUCUUUCCCGACCUGGAAGCAACAUGAGGGAGCUCAAGUAGCGGACCUUACCAAAAGAAGGCGUCUAGCUUGGUUAGUAGCUGUGAGACGAGCUGAUAUCCAGUUCUCUUCCAUCUCCAGAUAUCAGUUGGUGUGCUCCAGACAUUUCAUUCGGGCAAACCAGCCUAUGAAAUGGAUGAAUCAAAUCCUGACUGGGUUCCAACACUACACAUGGGGCACUCCGAGAUCCCUGCUUCAACCUUGGACCGUCACAGACGGCGAAUGCGCCGGAUGCAACAAAGAGUAGCAGUUGGAGGCUUUCAUAAUGGAGCAGCAGAGUCUGAAGGCGAGGCUUGGACAGAAGUUAUUGUAGAUUGAAGAUACGAGAGCUACUGCACACCUGAGAAUUGAUGUCGAGAGAGUUAUAGGUAGUUUGUGCAACAAGUACAAAUGCUAAAUACCACCAUGCCAAUCUGAUUACUUCUUCCAUGUGAGGGUGAAGAGCUGACCCUUCUGGAUAAGAUGGUGAAGGUUUGCUGCGUUUUGGUGAACAGUGUGAUAUUAAAACCAGGGAAAAGUGAAACUAAAAGUCUUGUGCUGUGUAUAUAGCGAUAUUUUUUCAACAGAUACAGUAAAUUACAGAAUGUUAGUAGUGGGUGAUAUCAUGCAAAUGCUGUCAUUUUAUGUACACAUUGUGUCAACUGUAAAUGACAUUGAUUCUACACUGUAACUGAUGUGAUUUUCUAUAAAGUGGUUUUAAUUUAAAAA